GCAAACUUGGUCAUUUAGAGGAAGUAAAAGUCGUAACAAGGUUUCCGUAGGUGAACCUGCGGAAGGAUCAUUAACGAGUUUUGAAAGGGUUGUAGCUGGUCUCAAUCUGAGGCAUGUGCACGCCCUACUCAUCCACUCUCAACCUCUGUGCACUUACUGUAGGUCGGUGAAAGGUUCGCUCUGCGAGCUGGAAGCCUUCCUAUGUUUCACUACAAACGCUUCAGUUUUAGAAUGUAACCUUGCGUAUAACGCAUCUAUAUACAACUUUCAGCAACGGAUCUCUUGGCUCUCGCAUCGAUGAAGAACGCAGC
rnacentral:misc_RNA from 1 species